AGCCACCCAAUCCCCUCAAUUUGACACUUUAUUUAAUUUUAACUUAUUUAGAUUUGGAUUUAAAAGCAAUUAUUGGCAAAAAUUUAAGAGUCUAAACAACUUAAAAUCAACUUGGAUAUGAGUACCUGCUCUUUCUACUGUAACCAUUGUGAAAUGUAAACGCAGAUCAAAUAUUCCCAGGGAAAAUGUAGCACUCCCAUUGAGACAUGCCGUACCUGUAAAAUGGACCCCGGAUUGGUAAGAGUAAAAGAAUACAAAAUUCUUCAUGAAUGAUUUUUAUAUGGAGUGCAUAUUCAAUUUGUAACAUUUUGGAUACAUUGGGUUAAAUAAGUUAUAUCGGUCAAAUGAUUUUCACCUGUUUAUUUUUACUUUUUUUUUCUAGCGUGGCUCAUGGAAAAAUCUUCCUUAUAUACGUAAUUCUCACAUUUUGUUUCUAUUGGUCAGCUUGGCAUGUAUUAUCUAUCCAUAAAUCAAUGUAAGUAGUUAGGUUUUUUUUUUGUUUGUUUUUUUCUCUUCUGGGGGAAUACCAGCAGUUUCUUUGUCUGAGUGCUGGGCUUGACCUAAGGCCUAUUUUGAAGAAAGGAAUGAGUAUCUUUGAAGAGUAGGAUCACCGGCAGAUGGUAAAUGCUCCUGAGCACUCGGGAGGAAUGAGAGCCUGAGCCCAGGCCAACCAACUGCUCUGCCCCACGGUGGGCACCUUCUCCCCUCCCGCAGGCGGCACGGGCAGCAUCCUGGACUGUUCACACAAAUUAACGUCCCAAAUGCAGCUUCAAACCAGGAAAUGAUGCACCGAGACUGGUUUGGAACAACAGGAGCAGCCCCCUCCGCUCUGCAGAGAACGGGACGGGGCAAAGCGGCAGAAGCCCCAUCGUGGAAUCGCACAUGGGAGCCUCACUCUCACCCUCACCCUCCUCCAGAGGCCUGUAUCGUCCUUCUCUCCUCCUUCACUGGUUACUCAGAAGACGUGGGGUCUUUCCCUCCCGGCCAGGGCUAACCGGCCCUCCCCGCGCUCUUGACCUCAGGCUGCCACCUAUGGGGGGUGGACCCUGGGCAUAUAUAUCCUGCGGGUUCUGUUUCUCUGGGGAAUCCCGAUGGGUCCAUAGGCCGUGAGGUUAUGUUUCUUCAAAGUUCAUCCUGUUAGACAACAGUAAGGUUUGGACACUCAUUUUUCAGGCUCAAUUAGACUUUCAUUUUUUGGUGGGAGUAUAAGGGAAAAAACCACAUCACCUCUAAGUUAAUAUUUAAAUGUGUUCAUUUUAUUUGGCACUCCUUGAAUAAAGAGAUUCUUCUUUAUAGAAAA